AGUCCUAAGGUGUUACACAUCAGAUUGCAAAUCUGAAGACGCGGCUUAAUCUCCGCUGGGGCUU
rnacentral:tRNA from 1 species